UUAAAGUAUGAUGGAAGCGAGCGCGAACGCAGGCUUCCGCUACCAGAAAUUAUACUGUCGAGUUACCGACGUUAGCGGUAAUCGCAGAGGUCAGCCUAGUCGAAGUGCAAUGAAUAAGCCUCACUCUGGAAGAAGCCGCUUCGUGAUCCGACUUAACUUCCCAGUCAGGUAAGUAUACAAUUUGGAUUUAUUAAAACGACCGAGCUUUUUACGGUCAUUUUUGAUUGUGGUGUUAUAUUAAAAAAUAAACAAGUUUAAAAUCUUAUAACAGUUUGAUAAGUCAAAAAAGCAAAAUAAAAUUAGUUUAAUGUUGUAUUUGUUAAUAUUUUGUUUACCUUAUCUAAAUAGCAACAAAAAUUAUUUAAAAAAAUAAAAAUAGAAUACAACGUUAAUUAGCAUAAAAUAAUCUACAAAAUUAAGUUUAUUUAAAUUAAAUUAUGAAUAAGGUUGAUGUUGUUUUCUAAAGCGUUAUAAGCAACAGAUAUAUAUAUUUGUGUAUCUAACAAUAAACUCUUGCAGCUUAGGGUUGUUAAAAGCAUCUAUAGUAUUUUAGGUUACUUUUGAUAUUUUCCUUUGAUGUGUUCAAAUGUUCAAAGAGAAAUUAGCAUUGCUUAGAUAUCAACUCAUGUAGCUCUAAUUUGUACAUUUGAUGUUUUACAAUGCUGAAGUUCUUUUGGCUCUUAAAACUCAAAUAGAGCCUGCAGAAUCUGUAUCUUUGUUUCGACUAGCACCUCUUUAUCCUCCAAGGACAACACGUAAAGUUGGGAAAUUAUGUACCAGGUAUGAUGUUCUAUGCUCAGAAACAAAGCGUUUUCAUCAAUUAAUGGCGUUUCUCAAAGUAUAGGCUGUCUAAAAUUCUUUUGAAUCAUUGUAAGCAAUCUGGAACCCUUAACAAUUUUUCAUAAAUCAUGAAGCAUUGAAAUUAUAAUGAACUGACUUGCAUCUUUUUGCUGAAAGCAGAGGAACUUGCAGAAUUAUUUCCUAUAAUGAUAAUGAUUAAAUAUUAUAUAAAAAUUUUUGAAGAUAAUUAGUCAUUGCGAGAAGUUUUCAAAGAUAUUUAACUCAUUUAAAACACUACUGAUUGUAUUAGUAACGACAAAGGUGAAUUUAUUAUAUCAGUAGAUUAGACAGAUGAUAAAGUUGAACAACUAAAAGAAGAGUAGGAUGUAUUUGAUGUUGCAUCUGUUUUGUGGACCUUUUGAUUUAAUGCACCUAGUAAGAAGACUGUUUCCUGUGAUGAAUUUAAUCUACGAAUCUUUCAAUCUGUGAAUGUAGUGUAAGAUUAUUUUUGAUGUAAAAGACCAUUUUGAUGUAUAUAAACUCUUGUUUCUAAUAAUUAGUUUCAGUUUAGUUCUAGAGUAAAACAAGUUUCUUAAUAGUAGUAAAGUUAAUUUCCUAACCAAUAAAAUACAUUAUUAUAUGAUGAUAAUCUGACAGUUUUCACUUCUUUAAUGGCUGGGUGGGUAGGGGAGAAGUGGGGCAUUGAAAAUAUUACAAGAAUAAUUUGAUAUCUUUUUUUAUAAAAUGUAUGUGCUGAACCAAACAAGUUUUAACAAAUAAAUUAUCAUUCAGGCACAGGUUCUAUCGCUUAAGAUAGUCAGCAGGUUAUAAUAAAGUAUAUAUUCUUUUAAUUUUUGAGGAACCGUGCCAUUGAUGUAAAGUGGGACAUGUGUGAGGUAAAGUGGGACUAGCAAGUAAUUAAAAAUAUAUUGACAAAAAUUAUGGUUUAAAAACUAUUAAUAUCGUAAACCACAUAAUCCCUAAAUUAGCAUCUGCUAAGGUUUCUUUUCUUUAUUGUGCUAGUCAUUUUCUUAUUCACAGUUCCAUUUUCUACCUCUACAACUCUCUUAUUCGCCCCACUAUGUAAUAUUCUUGUCAUAUUUUGGCUCCUUCUUCUAAUUAUGCUAUUUCUCUUCUAGACAAGGUCCAAAAACAAAUUUUUAAGGUAGCUGGACCCACUCUAUCUGCCAAACUUGAACUUCUCUCCCAUUGUCAUAAGGUUUUCUCUUUUCUACAAAUACUAUCAUAAUAAUUGCUUUUACUGUAUCUGUCCCUACAUGUUCUAAAAACUUUUGUUUAUUUAGUUUUUUUCUACUAACUUUAACCGUUUAGAACUCUUUGCUGCCUUCAUGUUUUCCUGACUCAUACAACCUUCAAUGUUUCAAAUCUUUUGUCAACUGUUUUCUUGCUUUUUAACUCUUUGUUUUCUAGUAACUCUCAACUUAAUAGUGGUUGUUUGCAGCCUUGUUUGGACUGAAUCAGAAUAAAAAAAUAAAUUAAAAAAAAUUAAAUUUCUUUGUCCCACUUCACCCUUCAAAAAAUCGUUUUAGGAGUACUUUUCAAAACUACCCUCUAAAAAGUUGAGUUAUUUACCACACACAGGAAGACAAAACAGUUUCUGCUAAAUAGAGGGGAAGAUAACAAAGACUACAGACUUCUCCUAAUUGAAUUUUUUUGAAAUGUACCAUUUCUCCCCAUUUUCUCCUAUCUGUAUCUUUUUCGACUUGCAUUCUUGAGUUUUUUCAUAAAUUAAAUACAUCUACACUGUUACUUUGAUAUCUUAUACCAUGUUAUUCCUUUCAAAAUGUGCAAUCUUUGUAUUGAGAAAUCAUAGAUAAAAAAACAGGACUUGUGUACAUUUUUAGGUGUAGUUCUCGACACAAUUCUUUCCUGGAGAGUUUUCCACUUAAGUAUAAAUGAGAAUAAAAUAUCCAAACAGCGUAUUCGAUAAAGCCAAACUGUUGUUUAACAAAAAAUGUUUAAAAAAACUUAUAAUUUUUUUUUUUUUUUUUUUUUUUAUUUACUUGUGCCUACCUAUAUAAAAAAAACUCAGUGGACAUGCUGUAAAAGUCAUUUCGAAUGUAAAUCAUUAAAGACCCUCAAAAGCUCUAUUUAGUAAACUAAAUAUCAAUAUUUUUCAACCAAAGAUUUAAUAUAUACUCAUUUUAAUGUACGAACUUGAUUAAAAAAUAACGCCUUUGAUAUUCUUUUAUUAAUUUUUUUUUCUUUUUAAUAACUCUUUCAGCUAUUUCGCUUUUUAUAUUUUGAGGUUUUAAAUUUUGUAAGUACUUGUUUUUUCUUUUAUAUAUUUCAAGUAAUUUUGUCAGAAGAAAAGAAAGGUUUUUUUAUUUUAAAAAGAAAGGUUUUUUUAUUUUGAAAAGAAAGGUUUUUUAAUUUUGAAAAGAAAAGUUUUUUUUAUCUAAAAUAUUGUAAUUAUUUGUAUAUCUUGUUAUUGUAACAAACGGCUAAACUUUUUUAUAUAUAAACACUUGGGUUUGAAAUUUUAUGUUAAUCUUUUUUUUUUUUUUUUUUUUUUGAUUUGAUUUACACUUGUUAUAUUUUUGUAUUUACUAGUAAUAUGCAUUAUAGACUGCUACUAACCAUAUUCAACUAGAUUGGAACGACUAAUAGACAUCGUAAUCCUAUUCAGAUUGAAUAUGUAAUAAAAAGUGACAUUCGGACAGAAGUCGAUUAGAUGAUUUUCUCGUAAUUGGUAGUUGAAAUUAUAUUUUUCUUUUCUUUUCUGGGAUUAUACGUUUUAGUUUAUGUAUAUUUAUAAUAGCACUUUAGUACUAAAAUUGAAACAUGAAAAACCUAAUUUUA
rnacentral:lncRNA from 1 species